AAUGCCGGAUGCUCCAGUUGGAUGCAUGUCCUUCUGGGAAAGAUUCAUCGGUAUGGGAUGGGGUCGCGUCCUAUCAGCUUGAUGGCGGGGUAACGGCCCACCAUGGCUUCGACGGGUAGCCGGCCUGAGAGGGCGACCGGCCACAUUGGGACUGAGAUACGGCCCAGACUCCUACGGGAGGCAGCAGUGGGGAAUAUUGCACAAUGGGCGCAAGCCUGAUGCAGCGACGCCGCGUGCGGGAUGACGGCCUUCGGGUUGUAAACCGCUUUUGACUGGGAGCAAGCCCUUCGGGGUGAGUGUACCUUUCGAAUAAGCACCGGCUAACUACGUGCCAGCAGCCGCGGUAAUACGUAGGGUGCAAGCGUUAUCCGGAAUUAUUGGGCGUAAAGGGCUCGUAGGCGGUUCGUCGCGUCCGGUGUGAAAGUCCAUCGCUUAACGGUGGAUCCGCGCCGGGUACGGGCGGGCUUGAGUGCGGUAGGGGAGACUGGAAUUCCCGGUGUAACGGUGGAAUGUGUAGAUAUCGG
rnacentral:rRNA from 1 species